ACGGGUGCGUAACGCGUGGGAAUCUGCCCUUGGGUUCGGAAUAACAGUUAGAAAUGACUGCUAAUACCGGAUGAUGUCUUCGGACCAAAGAUUUAUCGCCCAAGGAUGAGCCCGCGUAAGAUUAGCUAGUUGGUGGGGUAAUGGCCCACCAAGGCGACGAUCUUUAGCUGGUCUGAGAGGAUGAUCAGCCACACUGGGACUGAGACACGGCCCAGACUCCUACGGGAGGCAGCAGUGGGGAAUAUUGGACAAUGGGCGAAAGCCUGAUCCAGCAAUGCCGCGUGAGUGAUGAAGGCCUUAGGGUUGUAAAGCUCUUUUACCAGGGAUGAUAAUGACAGUACCUGGAGAAUAAGCUCCGGCUAACCCCGUGCCAGCAGCCGCGGUAAUACGGAGGGAGCUAGCGUUGUUCGGAAUUACUGGGCGUAAAGCGUACGUAGGCGGUUAUUCAAGUCAGAGGUGAAAGCCCGGGGCUCAACCCCGGAACGGCCUUUGAAACUAGAUAGCUAGAGUCUUGGAGAGGUUAGUGGAAUUCCGAGUGUAGAGGUGAAAUUCGUAGA
rnacentral:rRNA from 1 species